AAAAUAUCAAUAGCAGUUCAAUUUAAACAAAGAAUACUAAAGUAAUGGCAGAAUCGACAAGAAGUCAAACCAAAAAUUUCUGGUUACUUGGACACGAAGAGGCCCAAAUAACUGGUGCAAAGUUACCUUUAACAAGGAAAAAGCUGGAAUUCCUGUUCGUCCUAAGCCUCAUGCUAUUAUACAACUCAAAAAGCUUCAUUUUGAGUGGCAGAAGCUUAAAACGGAUAAAAAUCGUACAUCUAAAACUCACCAAUCGUAUUACCUUGGAAAGUAAAAUAGAAGAUUUGUUUGACAUUGCACAUAAAAGUGCACUCAUUCUCAUCAAGAAUCCAGAAGAUAUAGAAUUUUUUUUUGGCACAGAGAGAGAAAGGACGUCGCGGAUAUAUAGGCGUAGAAGAUAAAGCCCAUUCUAAAAAAGUAAUGAAAACAGCAAAGAGGCGAGAUAUAGAAUUUGUCAUUCAUCUAUUUUUACCCAAAUGCAUAUUUUAAGCCUAUGACGUUGAGUUUUCACUCAAACAUAAUGAAUAUGGGCCUAUAUUAUUUUUAAAAGAAAAAAAUAAAGAUGAUUUCAUUUUGCUGUACAAAUAAGUGUUUAAAAUUCUAUUUUAAUCAUCUUAGUUAUAUUGCAUGACAAAUGCAAGGGACUUUAAUUUGUGCAAGAUUUAUUUAUCUUUAAUGGCUUAAAUUGAAAAGUAAUAAAAAAUAUAUUAAAACAUGA
rnacentral:lncRNA from 1 species